AAAAAUCCCAACUCCAGGCUGUGGAGUUUGAAAUGGCCACACUGUGUCCCCACAGAGCUGUCAAGCCUGUGUGGCUCACAAAAUGCAAAAGCCAGAGCCUUUCAUCACUGCACAGACAAUAAAAACCAGUCUUGAUCCCCCCAUGUGGGCAGCGCUCUCUCUGCUGUCUGCUGUCAUUUACGAGUCAAAGGGACCAAGAAAAAGUCAUAAAGAUGUGAAUGUGCCUA
rnacentral:lncRNA from 1 species